GAAAGAGAUGCUCUGUAAAAAAUUAGACAUGAAAGGUUGUCCCCAUGUGUGUGUGUUUGUAUGUUUGUUUCUUCAUUGGUAUCAUUCAUGUGUGUGUGUGUGUGUGUGUGUGUCCUUAGAGAAGAGGAAGUUCUUUCGUUCUAUCUUUUUAUCUCGUCUCUAGUCUCUACACCUUUGCCUCCGUGGUCUAGUGGUUAGCGUGCCUAGCUAUGAAUCCAUGGGCGUGGGUUCAAAUCCCAGCCCGGACAGUCGGCAUGCAGCUCACCCAUCUCCUCAUCACUCCCAGGUCUUUCUCUGCCUCUGUGGUGGAUAGUGGAGUGUUUCCCAUGUGGUAUUGGUGUGCUGGAUAUCCCUUCACUGGUAGCCUGUUAACAUACACUCCCAGGUCUUUCUCUGCCUCUGUGGUGGAUAGUGGAGUGUUUCUCAUGUGGUAUUGGUGUGCUGGAUAUCCCUUCACUGGUAGCCUGGUAACAUACACUCCCAGGUCUUUCUCUGCCUCUGUGGUGGAUAGUGGAGUGUUUCCCAUGUGGUAUUGGUGUGCUGGAUAUCCCUUCACUGGUAGCCUGGUAACAUACACUCCCAGGUCUUUCUCUGCCUCUGUGGUGGAUAGUGGAGUGUUUCCCAUGUGGUAUUGGUGUGCUGGAUAUCCCUUCACUGGUAGCCUGGUAACAUACACUCCCAGGUCUUUCUCUGCCUCUGUGGUGGAUAGUGGAGUGUUUCCCAUGUGGUAUUGGUGUGCUGGAUAUCCCUUCACUGGUAGCCUGGUAACAUACACUCCCAGGUCUUUCUCUGCCUCUGUGGUGGAUAGUGGAGUGUUUCCCAUGUGGUAUUGGUGUGCUGGAUAUCCCUUCACUGGUAGCCUGGUAACAUACACUCCCAGGUCUUUCUCUGCCUCUGUGGUGGAUAGUGGAGUGUUUCCCAUGUGGUAUUGGUGUGCUGGAUAUCCCCUCCCAAGAUGCAGGA